ensembl:lncRNA
CAUGGCGGCAAGAAUAAAAGUUUUUAGGUUUGAACUUGUGAUGUCUCUUGCUCCAGGCAAGAAAUAUUCCUCUGAGCCCCAUCAUCUCAUGUUCAUUUGGGGAGACUGAGCCCCCCCAAAACUGAAAUCCAAGAACCGCCUCUGGGGAUGCCUGGUCUGCGGGUGUGAUUAGUGUGCCAGGGUGAUGUGUGUGGUAAAUGUCUGAGAUGAAUCCAGCCAUGAAAUUGAUCUGGGCUUUUGAGUGUUGCACUUGUCUUUAAGGGAAAAGACUACAGGAUAUUACUGAAGCAAUGAGAAGUAGCCUUCCUGUCAGCCAAGCCACUGCUGCAUGACACUGAGCAAGAUUUAAAUCACAGGCUUAAGUAAUGGGCAGCAAUAAGCUGCUCUUGCUGUCUGUCUCUGUAUAGCAAACAUGUAGGUGCUGUUUUCUUGCAGUCUUAACAACUUGAUUUGUGCAUUUCUAAAGUGAAUUUUACAAGUUAUAUUUUAUUUUA